UACGGGGGGGGGCAAGCGUUUGUUCGGAAUUACUGGGCGUAAAGGGUGCGUAGGCGGUUCGCUAAGUUGGAUGUGAAAACUCUGGGCUCAACCCAGAGCCUGCAUCCAAUACUGACAGGCUAGAGUUCUGGAGGGGAUAGCGGAAUUCCUGGUGUAGCGGUGAAAUGCGUAGAUAUCAGGAGGAACACCGGUGGCGAAGGCGGCUAUCUGGACAGAGUCUGACGCUGAGGCGCGAAAGCUAGGGGAGCAAACAGG
rnacentral:rRNA from 1 species